UUCUGGGAAGUUUUUUGAUUGUGGAAUAAUUAAUUUUGCUAUAAAAUUUUUAUAGUUAUCUUGGAAACUGGUUAAGAAGAGGAACUUUAGUUACUAAGGUAUGUCUAUAAUUUACAUAUAUUUAUGUAUCUUUUAUUGAAGCCAAAGGUCAAGAUUCAGUCAAACCAGGGAACUCAUCAAAUCAUGACCACUGGCAGUUUUUGUAUGAUAUAUAAAGAGAUGCCGGGGUCCAGCCCCGGCUGAUCCAGGGUAUUCGAAGGGGAGACGGCUUCGGCGAGGAUCAGGAUACAAUAGCUUCAAUUAGACAUUAAUUAGAGAUGUAAAGAGUAAUAGAAUGAGGAUAGCUCAGUAGGAAAAUUCAGUGGAGAAAAGAGGCUGAGUAGCUUGGUUUACGCGGGAG
rnacentral:lncRNA from 1 species